UGCCCAUUGGCCCAGUGGUCAAGGCGUCUGACUGUUAACGUGGCCCACCACAGGAGCAGAUACAUCAGAAGAUCCCUGGUUCGACCCCAGGAUGGGCAG
rnacentral:tRNA from 1 species